rnacentral:rRNA from 1 species
UACAGAGGGGGUAAGCGUUAUUCGGAAUUAUUGGGCGUAAAGGGCGCGUAGGCGGCCAUUCAAGUGACGGGUGAAAGCCCUCGGCUUAACCGAGGAACUGCCUGUCAGACUGGAUGGCUUGAGACCGGGAGAGGUGAGUGGAAUUCCCAGUGUAGCGGUGAAAUGCGUAGAUAUUGGGAGGAACACCAGUGGCGAAGGCGGCUCACUGGACCGGAACUGACGCUGAGGCGCGAAAGCGUGGGGAGCAAACAGG